CAUCUUACAGAUUUUUUGAAAUGAAGAGAAACAGGGGAAUUCUGUAAAUUUCUUCUUAUAUGCAAAUGAGCUGAAAAUGUAUUGAAAUGACUAGAUCAGAAGUUUAUGCCUUUCCAGUAAGUUUUUCCCUACCUUUGACGAUAGUUAUUAAAAAGUAUAGAUACCAACCUCUUUUCUGAUAUUAGUACCUAAAAUUUUCAGCCUGUGAAUAGCUGUGGAAAUUUGGGACUUCCUUUUUUUGAAGAUAUAAAUAGAUCUAAGCUAUAUUUAGACUAAAGUUUUUUUCAGUAUAACAGCAUGUAGAGAACCCUUACAUACAGUCAAAUAUUCUUGAUAUUGCAAGGAAAUAUAAUGCAUUUUUUAAGUGAUUGCUGUUUCUUAUGUUGUGCAUACUUGAUAUAGGUCAUUGUCAAUGUCAACUAUCAUUAUACUGACAUUUGAAGUUUUUUUUUCUAGAUUACCUCCAUUAUAUAUGCAUUUUUCUUCAUUCAUUUUAUUGAUAAUUGCUUCCCUUUAUGUUUAGCAAAAAUUCUUAGAUUGCAUUUAAUUAAGUCCCUUUAUUUAACAUGAAAAAUUCUCUUGUGUAAUGAUUAUUUGUAUAUUUUACUUACAGUGUCUGAUACAUGUAGUUGCAGUCUGUCUUUGGAAGCUGUAGAAAUAACAAGAAAGAGGCUGACAUAGUGUUUUGGUAGGGAAAAGUUUGAGUAUGUACAUGUACAGUUGUUUGACCUGUCUUACCAUGUGGCAGUCCAAGAAGAUGUUACCAUUAUGAAAAAUGCAGGAGAAGUGCUACAAGUGUGUUGUCAUGUGAAAUGGAAUUUACCCCAACUGUGUUGCAUGAUGUAUAUUCAAGUGCGAGACAGCCAUGCACCAGCUGUAAACUGAGAUGGACCCAUAUAAUAAAUAUGUUGACUUUUCUAUGUAUUAUCAUCUGUACAGAAUGUGUUCAUGACAAGACUGUAUACAUAUAUUGUUAAAUCAUUUUUUAUUUCCAUUAUUGCAUGCAUGUAAGAAGCAAGCAUUUAACAAUUGCAUUCAUAGAAAUGUUAAAAUGUGAUCAAUCUAAUUUAAAGAAACACAUUUAAUUGGACAUUUUAAGUUUCAUAGUAUUUGUGGUGGAGAAUGACCCAGACAUUCAGCAACUUAAACUGUCUGUGUGUCAUUUCUUGUUUGUUAUAGUUUUCUUAAUAAUACAUUAAAUGUCAAAGUUAUGGUAAGAUGAACUCAUUCAUCACUUGUAGAUUAAUGUUAAAGCAGUUCAACAUUUUACCAUAAGUUAACUAAUAUUCUAUUUAACCAGAGUUGUCACAUAUUUUCAUAUAAAUAUUUGUAUAAUACAGUCUAAUCUAAUCUAUAAAUGAUGUUCCACAAUUUUUUAGUUAUAUUUUAUGUUGAUAUUUUAUGUUGUUUUCAUGUCUCAACAUAUAAUUACUAACAUCAAAGAAACUUAAGUAUUUUACAAUUUGGUUGGUAUAAAUGGUUGUUUUGUUUAUACAUUUUAUUUUUUUCCAUCCAGGAGAAUAAAGAAAUAUACAUUUCAAAAUAUCUCAUCAUUCCAGAUAAGUACACUACAUAACCAAGAUAAAAGAAAUAAGAACAAAAUAUGUCGUGGAAUUUUAUUUUCAAAAAUUUGAUAUACAGUCUUUGUAGUAUUUACUUCUUUAGAUAUGUUGGACUGAAAUGGGAAUAACAACAUACUUUAAAUUUUUGUAGGCAUAAGUUAAUAUGGGAAUUAUUAACUUAACUUAACUUAAAAAGAUUUUAUCUCUCGGUUAUGCCAUCUGAGCUUUCAUAUUUUUCAACAUUGUCAUUGGCAACAAGGCUCGAAAUUAUUUGUUGUGUAUACCUUGCAUUCAUGUGUGAUAAAUGCUUUUAUGGUAUUCUUUAAUAUAAUUUAUGCUUUUCAUCUUACCAUGGAUUAAAAAAAAUAUAAAUUCAUUUGUGUGAAAAUUAAGGUAAAAUACUGACUGAUUAAAUUGCAAUAUAAGAAAGCUUAUUUGAGAUAAAGGGAGGUAAUUCCAUAAAAAAAAUAUGUAGAAUGUAGAUGAUAAAUGUAAUGAAGGGAGGUAAUAAAAUAUUGUGAAGUUACUAGUCUUCAUUUCUUUGAUGAGCUAAUUAAUUGUUUUACAUUUUGGUUUAUUAACUACAAGUAUGACCUAACAUGUGUACCUGUCCUGAAGGAAAAUAAAAAAGGUUGUUUGAUGUCCUUGUACUUUAAGUUGUUCCUGUAUUUGUUUACAUUCCAUGUCUAAAUGAAAUGAAGAAACAAACUUUAAUGAGGGUAUCCCGGGAAAAUACCUAAGUUUAUUUUUAUAUCAGCAAAUUUGAUGAGAUAGUCAUUCGGAGUUGUCUAUCCUAUUUCCAAAAAUGCUAUGGGGACUAAAUUUUUUUGGAGUAAAUAUCUCUUUUAAAGAAUAACAAACAGCAUUUUAAUAUUGUAUAUAUAUUAUCUGAUGCACUUAGCAAUAUAUAUCUGGAGUCAAAAUGUGAAAAAAUCCGGUUUUAAUUUUUUUAGUUACAAUGUCUAUGUAUUAUGCCUUUUUAGGCGGGUAAUUUGUUAUAUAUUAAUUUCAGAAGCAUCUAUAUAGGUUUGUCAAGAUUUUUAUACAUGAAAUGAUAUGGGGAAUAUGCAGAAGGUCAGUUCCUGAAAAUUUAAACAACCCUGAAUUACUUCACUCCAGUUAUAUAUCCAAAAGUAGGAAAACAGCUAAACCAAAUUCAGCACUGUGAUGUAACACAGCUGCAACAUGAUACAAGUAUCCAUGCAUAAACAUGCAUAAACAAUUACUUGCAAUUUCAUUAUACAGUUGUUUAACUUUGAUUUUGAUUGAACAAUAAGACUGCCAGGAGUUGUACUUAAAUCCAUAGCCCUUUGAACAUAAACGUCAAGCAUACUAUAAUCAACUAAGUUU